rnacentral:rRNA from 1 species
CGGCGGACGGGUGAGUAACACGUGGGUAACCUACCUAUAAGACUGGGAUAACUUCGGGAAACCGGAGCUAAUACCGGAUAAUAUAUUGAACCGCAUGGUUCAAUAGUGAAAGACGGUUUUGCUGUCACUUAUAGAUGGAUCCGCGCCGCAUUAGCUAGUUGGUAAGGUAACGGCUUACCAAGCAACGAUGCGUAGCCGACCUGAGAGGGUGAUCGGCCACACUGGAACUGAGACACGGUCCAG